CCUGGAGAUCCUACGGGAGGCAGCAGUGGGGAAUUUUGGACAAUGGGCGCAAGCCUGAUCCAGCCAUGCCGCGUGUCUGAAGAAGGCCUUCGGGUUGUAAAGGACUUUUGUCAGGGAAGAAAAGGACAGGGUUAAUACCUCUGUUUGAUGACGGUACCUGAAGAAUAAGCACCGGCUAACUACGUGCCAGCAGCCGCGGUAAUACGUAGGGUGCGAGCGUUAAUCGGAAUUACUGGGCGUAAAGCGAGCGCAGACGGUUACUUAAGCAGGAUGUGAAAUCCCCGGGCUCAACCUGGGAACUGCGUUCGGGACUGGGUGACUAGAGGGGGUCAGAGGGAGGUAGAAUUCGACGUGUAGUAGUGAAAUGCGUAGAGAUGUGGAGGAAUACCGAUGGCGAAGGCAGCCUCCUGGGAUAACACUGACGUUCAUGCUCGAAAGCGUGGGUAGCAAACAGGAUUAGAUACCCGAGUAGUCCU
rnacentral:rRNA from 1 species